CCCAGCUCCUCAUGCUAGAGCACUUUUUCAAUUUGCUCCCAAACGAGAAGGCGACGACUCAUUCGUAUGUCAAUCCAUAUAAACUAUCAAUGCCAUUGACUGCGCCUACUAUGGUGACCACGGGUAACGGGGAAUCAGGGUUCGAUUUUGUACAGGGACCCUGACAAACAGCUACCACAUGCAAGGAUGGCAGCAGGCACGCAAAUGACCUACUCCCGACGUGGGAAGGUAGUGACG